CCUGUGUCAGAGGCUGUGGAACAAGAACCACUAAAACUUAUCUCUGACCUCAAGAAGUUUAUAGUUCAGGGAAGUGACUGACAAUCAUAAUACAGAGGCAUAAGGGCUAUCCAAAUAGGGUCACAGGUUACGCUAUGAAUACAGGUAUCACAUCAGAAAAUUACCGUACUUAAAAUCUCAGCAAAGAGAUCACACCCUCACACAAUUAAUGUUAUCAACAUCCAUCCAGUCUCUCAAGCUCACCCUCUUCAACAAUCUUUGCUUUACUGAGUUCCGGGUGGACUAUUUAAAUAUCAUACAAAUUGAUUCUGACAUCACAAUCACUGCCUGCUUCCUAAAACUUGCCCUCCACCGUCUAUUAUAAAUGCUUUCCAAUCAGUGCUCCCAUUCUUCAUUCUAUUCACCACUUAGUUACUAGAAUGUUUUUCUCAACUAUGAAUCUGACUUCACUCCCUUUCUUGAAAACCUCCUGUAGUUCCUGUUGUGUACGGGAUAAAGGUCAGACAACUUAGUAUAGCCCAGCUCAGUCCAGCUAGCAAAGCAAAUACUAGCUUUAUUCCCUGCAAGCAACGUAAGACAAAGACAACCACACUAAACUCAGUAUUAGCAGACCACCAUCCUCCCUGAGGCCUCCACUGCUUUGCACACACUCUUCUCUUUCUCAGAAGGUCCUUUCCCCUCCUCCUGUUGGUGCAGCCAAUUCUUUCUCUUCCUUCUAAUGCACCAUCUUCUGUGUAGUCUUCUUUGACACUAGACUGUGAGCCCCUGGAGUUCAGGGACCAUUUCUUAAUCAUAUUCCAGAACCUAUCACAAUGAAUGACACGAAGAAUAUAUUUGAUAAAAAUCUGAUGAAUGAACCACUCUAAAAUGCAACUCUAAUAAAGAAAAUUACUGCCUAUUCAGUUGGAACUGUACCAUGUUACAAACGUAAAAUUAUGUAUAGUCUGAUAAAGAAAUACUAUAAUAGCCUUGGAAACAGCUCACAUACAAUUUUUUUUAUAAAUGGAUUCAUUACCAUAUAACUGGACCAGCUUACUGAAGAGUAGCCCUACAGCAGUCACUUCGCAGUUUGCAAUUCAUUUGAGGUUCAAAGCUAGCUCAAGGGAAAACAACGUUAGUAUUAACAAACUUAUUUUUAAGCUUAAGGUCAGAAUUUAAGGGAAAAUAAAUAAAUAUAGUAUGUUCUAAGAAUCCAAAGGAAUUUUUAAAAAUUGCCCCCUGCAGCUGUAAUUUCUGCAUGGAUGAGAAAACCUUAAUUGCUUGCUGGCUUCCAAGAAAGCCAUUAACCUGCAUUUAAAAAUUCAGCUUUCAUCAAGAACAACCUCACAUAUCCAGCUCUCAUGGAAAAAGGAAUAGAAGCCUCUGACCUAGUUUUCAAUUAUUACCAAACUACUGAUAAUUGAUCUCCUGGUCUCCAGGUUUGUUUGUUUUACUAAAAUAAAUUCCCUCUGGAGCUGCAGGUGCUUACCAUGGGGCUGCGCAGGUGGAAAGCAGCCCAGUCUUACUAUGAGGAUGUCCGUUUGCCAUCUGGGAACAAGGAGGAAGAAGCAGAGACCUGGGCAAGACCUCAGAGAAUAAAUUAUCUCAAUGGCUACUUACAUGGUCCAGCAUAGCAGAAAAAAAAGCCACACUGAGCAAGCAGUGGUCCUUUCCAUGCUACACAAGCAAGAAAUGCCUAUAAAGACAGACUUGAGUGCAGUCUAAAGAAUCUUUUGCUUUGCCUUAACACUCUACUUCUGGAUAUCCUUGCUCAAAAAGAAGUCUACUCAAGACAGGGAGGUUCCUGUGGACAGAAACAUCUGCUUCCUGCUUAUCCUGUAUCUCAGCAUCUGAAUGGUCAUGACUGGAACACAGGCAGACUUCAGAAAUAAAUACAUAAAUAUCUCAUACUCCUCGAAUCUUUUAGAAAAAGAGUGUGGGUAACAAUAAACAUAUCUGCUGAGAAAUGACCACCUCACUCUACUCUUCUGCAGACUUCCCAUUCUGUGCCGAGUCACCCUCAGUAGGCCUAAGUGUGACGAUCCUCUCAGCACUCCCUGUAAACCUAUUUAGGAAUCCGCGAAAGAAAGAGAAGACCACCAGGCAGACUGGUGAUGAUAUUUCUUGGGGAGGCUGUGCAGUUUUUCAUAGUGAAGCCUACAACUUAGAUUUUCAGCACUAAUAGAACCCCAUUAUCAGGAGGAGAGAAAAGCACUAAUUUCAGAUGGGCUCUGACAGGGGACAGUUUUAAGAAUUUAUAGAGAGACAUUUCCGUGUCCAGCCAGGAUGUAAUCAUGGAAAUUGGAUUUACCUUCCCAUCCAUGUGUAACACCAACAUCCAGUGGUUUUUCAUGAUACUGAACAAAGGCAGCAAUCACUGAGAGACUGGGAAAUAAACAAAAGGACUGCCCCAAUUUAUUAAGAAAGCUUCCAGACCACAAUGAAGGUAGGUGGUGUGGAGUCCUGACAAGGUAAGUUAGCACCAACAAGGAAGAGGCCAGCCCCCGAUGGGGGAGAACAAUUGUUCUGAGAGACAGCUAAUCACAAACAACCUGCUUGUACAACAUCCUGUUCCCAAAUACCUUGCUCUGCAUAUACCCCAGCAGCACAAUCCUCUCUGCACAUAACCCCUCCAGCAUGGCCCUAGAAAACUUCCUUUCAGCCCCUGCCUCUUGGCAGACAGCCUCUUCUCUGCUGUGCCGGCCAUUGCUUCCCGCUAAUAAACUUGUUCUCGUUUUUGUUGUUGUUGUUUCGAGAUGAAGUUUCACUCUGUCGCCAGGCUGGAGUGCUGUGGUGUGAUCUCGGCUCACUGCAACCUCUGCCUACCAGGUUCAAGCAAAUCUUGUGCCUCCGUUUCCCGAGGAGCUUGGGAUUACAGGCGCCCGCCACCACGCCCGGCUCAUUUUUGUAUUUUUAGUAGAGACGGGGUUUCACCAUGUUGGCCAGGCUGGUCUCGAUCUCUUGACCUCGUGAUCUGCCCACCUCGGCCUCCCAAAGUACUAGGAUUACAGGCGUGAGCCUCCGCACCCGGCCUAAACUUGGUUUUAACUCGCACCUGUUUCAGUAAAUUAUUUACUUCCCGUGAAGCCAGCCUUAGCCAGUCACGCUCACAACAAGUAGAAGCCAGGCGGAGCCUGAAGGAGGCCCUGAGUUAAGGUGACAAAG
rnacentral:lncRNA from 10 species